rnacentral:misc_RNA from 1 species
AGGCAAGAUAUUUUUCUUUUCUUACAUGACAAAUCUGUGGUUUGAAACAUUUAUGGUAAUUUUUCCUUAAAUGAUUUGGUUGACAUUCAACAGUGCCUUUCCAAGCUAUAUGGAGUUCAUUUCACAAUUCUUAUUUGCAAAUUUUCAUGAUGUAUUUUUAUAGUUUCUCUUGAGCAGAAGUCUUUUUGCAUCUUGUGACUGGGAUCAUAAGCUUUUUGGCCUUUAUUUAUGCUUGCAACUUCAUUAGCCUAUUUCAUGAAGAUUUGAAGGAACUAAACUUGGACAUGAUUGUGAAAGAAUUAUACUUUUAACAUCUUAAUAUAUUGUGAAAGAGUUCUGCUUGAAUCUUGUUUUAGCCAUAUGUUGCCCAAGUUUACUUUUAUUUAUAUAUUUAUGGUGCCUAUUUUCCUCUUUAGGGAUUUUGAAAGCUGUAUAUACAUAUUAUCAUUUUUCUCACAUAUACAUGCAUAUCCAUACAUUCGUGGAGGCACUUUUGCUCAUGAAUGGAUAUUGAUAUCUGCUAUUUCUGU